rnacentral:lncRNA from 1 species
CGUCCUUUCGUUCCGGCGGCUCCUAGAGCGUUUGCUUUGUUCCCGAUAUGUCUCGUCCCUCCGGGGUUAACUUGCAGAUGGUUGACCUGACCAAGCAGGACAGCAUGGAGGUUGGAGGGAGAGAAGGGCAUCGAGGGAGAUGAGAACUCACCUACCAUCUGAAAGUCUUAAGGUUUGCUGACAGACAAAACCGGGCUUUGAAUGGAGCGUGAACUCCUGAGGCGAGCAUUGGUGAGUGGUUUCCACGUGUCCCUCUUCCAGUGUAUACUUUGUUUCUGACAUAAACUUGGCUGGUGAACUGAUGAUAUCAUUUCUUUCCCCGUCAGAUCGACCCUGUUGAUCUCAAAUACUAAUUGCCAGUUUUGUCUGAUGCAUCAGCCCCAGGAAUAAUUCAUUGUUGGCUUUAAUCUAUUUCACUUGAUAAUGGCUUCGAUUUAUUUUCUACAGGCCCGAGAGAGCCGAGGAUGCAGGUGUUGGUCUGAUCUUGAUUUCAGGUGAGGUUCUUUUACUGUUUUAACCUGUUUCUAGGGAUGUUAUAACAAGUGUGGAGAGUAACGGGUGUUUGAUUCUUGGCUUUUGCUGCUCUGUUCAUGCUGUUAAGGUUCCUGGUGGGAUUCAAGUUCACCAUGUUGCUUGCUAAGUGGGGGUGGGGGAUGUGUUCAGCCAGAAAAGCCUAUCAACAUUUUACUUUUCUUUUUAGGUACUUUUGGAAUACAGAAUACCAGAUGUGUUCCUGCUGCCCAGCCCCACAAGGCUAUGCAGAAUGCAAAGAAGAGUUACUUUUUGGCUGGGGAGUAGUGGUAUCAUGUGCACUAUUGCUGGAAAUAAUAAAUAUUGGCCUAUCUGUAGAAAUAAAAAUCUGACUAAUGAUAUUUAU